rnacentral:rRNA from 1 species
CGAACGCUGGCGGCAGGCCUAACACAUGCAAGUCGAGCGGCAGCACGGGGAGCUUGCUCCCUGGUGGCGAGCGGCGGACGGGUGAGUAAUGCAUGGGAAUCUGCCCGGUAGAGGGGGAUAACGUGUGGAAACGCACGCUAAUACCGCAUACGUCCUACGGGAGAAAGGAGGGGAUCUUCGGACCUUCCGCUAUCGGAUGAGCCCAUGUCGGAUUAGCUAGUUGGUAGGGUAAAGGCCUACCAAGGCAACGAUCCGUAGCUGGUCUGAGAG